UCCCUUAAAGUCCAAUGGUUAGGGCUUUGUACUUUCACUGCUGAGGGUGUGGGUUCAAUUCCCGGUUGUGGAA
rnacentral:tRNA from 1 species